CCUGAAGGGUGAUAUUGACCCAUUACCAUGGCCACUGCUCCUCCUGCCAGCCCUCGCCAACAGAGGAGGGCCUCCACCAAGCUUCUUAGUGAUGUUGGUGCCCCAAGUGCCAGGGAAAACCUUCUGCAGCAUCUUCAAGCACAUCUUGACAGGGACAGACGGGCCCUAUCUACAGUGCCAAAAUCUUCAGAGACUUUCAGCCAGAUAACCCCACCCAUAUUUCAAGGCCUCCCAUUCUCCCAAUCCUGUACAUGACCCUAGCAUUACAGACCUAUAAUGGCUGAGCAUUCAAACAUUUCUGAAGCUCAGGACUCUAACCAAUAAAGUAUUGAGUCAUCUGUUUUUCCACUACAGGAGACAUGGCUUCCUUGUAAGCCACCGCAGAGUGUUCCCUGGUCCUCACAAAGUAACAAGUCUUUACUGCUAGUUAA